AGGAAAAAGGAAUGAGGUGGUGAAAUGAUAAGAAGAAGAUGAAGAGAAUGCGUAGAAGAGUCAAAAGGGGGUUGGAGUAGGCAUAGGAAUAAGAGGAGGAGGAGGAGGAGGAGUAGAGGAAGGAUAAGAUGAAGAUGAAGAGCAUAGAUAAGGGAGA